rnacentral:rRNA from 1 species
CAGUAGCCACGGGAAUACGUAGGGUGCAAGCGUUAAUCGGAAUUACUGGGCGUAAAGCGUGCGCAGGCGGUUGUGUAAGACAGGUGUGAAAUCCCCGGGCUUAACCUGGGAACUGCGCUUGUGACUGCACAGCUAGAGUAUGGCAGAGGGGGGUGGAAUUCCACGUGUAGCAGUGAAAUGCGUAGAGAUGUGGAGGAACACCGAUGGCGAAGGCAGCCCCCUGGGCCAAUACUGACGCUCAUGCACGAAAGCGUGGGGAGCGAACAGGAUUAGAUACCCCCGUAGUCCCUGUCUCUUAUAC